UCCUCUGGUCACGGGUGAGAAUGGCGCUGAUCACUUUACUGCUCUGUACACUUCUAUUAGAAGGAAGUUUUGGAAACACAAUUACUCCAAUAUCCGGUGUAGAAAUAGUUAAACAAGGAGAUAUUGUGACCCUCCAGUGCAACUACACGGGUGCUGUAAACAAUUUGCAAUGGUACCGGCAGUACCCCGGACAGGCUUUGGAGUACCUGCUGAUGAGCUUUGAAACGGGUGGUGGAUCUAAAGCAAACGAGGAAGAACACCGAAUCUCAGGAGAGAUUGAUAAAGACAAUAAACACAUGUUUCUAAAACUGAUAGACAUUGAAGUGACUGACGCAGCCGUGUACUACUGCGCCCUGAGUCCCACAGUGACAGAAACCCAUCCAGCACUGUACAAAAACUACCUGACACUGAAACACAAGCUGCUCUUCACAAGCUGACAUAUUUCACCAGGAGGUGGCGCUGUUGUGCCAUGAAACAAACUUGUUCAUAAAGUCAA